rnacentral:lncRNA from 1 species
GAAGGAGCCAAGGAAAUAUUUAGGCAAAUGUUAGCAGGCUUUAUCUAUGGCUAUGGGCACUGUAUAAGUUCACAGUGACCUGAAACCAGAUUAUAUUCUGUUAGAGAAGAACGGAAAAGUCAAAAGCAUCGACUUUGGCCUUCAACUCAAGACAAACCUGGGCAAAUGCUGAACUGGCAGCAUGGUGCUUACCCUAUUGGUGCACCUGAUCUCUUCCUAGGACAACUUUAUGAUGGUGCAAAAAAAAACAACAACGUAUGGAUCUUGGGAGUAGGCUUAUAUUUCACUGUUGUAUUUGACUCUGUUGUCAUACAACAGUUCAGAAGAAAGGUUGUAGCAGGUGUGUACCCUGCUCACUGUGGGGUGUCAGAAGAGGCAGCUUAGCCUCUUAAUAAAAGUCAAUCCAAACUAUGGGCUGACAGUCUCAGAGGUGAUGAUGUACCCCUAAUGAAAACUGGAAGAGGUUCACAAAUCCUUAUGAAGAAGUGAUCCCUCCCAUACCAGAUACUCCAAAAGAGGAAGAAACGUAA